AUGCAGUCGAACGGUGAUAGCAAUAUCAUAGUGGCGCACGGGUGCGUAACACGUAUGCAACCUACCUUAUACUGAGGGAUAGCCUUUCGAAAGGGGGAUUAAUACCUCAUAACACAUUGAACUGGCAUCAGUUUAUUGUUAAAGAUUUAUUGGUAUAAGAUGGGCAUGCGUCCAAUUAGUUAGUUGGCGAGGUAACGGCUCACCAAGACGAUGAUUGGUAGGGGAACUGAGAGGUUAAUCCCCCACACUGGCACUGAGAUACGGGCCAGACUCCCACGGGAGGCAGCAGUAGGGAAUAUUGGGCAAUGGAGGCAACUCUGACCCAGCCAUGCCGCGUGCAGGAAGAAGGCGUUAUGCGUUGUAAACUGCUUUUAUAUAGGAAGAAAUAGACCUUGCGAGGUAAGUUGACGGUACUAUAUGAAUAAGCACCGGCUAACUCCGUGCCAGCAGCCGCGGUAAUACGGAGGGUGCAAGCGUUGUCCGGAUUUAUUGGGUUUAAAGGGUGCGUAGGCGGUUUAUUAAGUCAGUGGUGAAAGACGGUCGCUCAACGAUUGCAGUGCCAUUGAUACUGGUAGACUUGAGUGGGAUUGAGGUAGCUGGAAUGGAUAGUGUAGCGGUGAAAUGCAUAGAUAUUAUCCAGAACACCAAUUGCGUAGGCAAGUUACUAAGUCUCAACUGACGCUGA
rnacentral:rRNA from 1 species